CCCUUAGAUGUUCUGGGCUGCACGCGCGCUACACUGACGCACGCAACAGGUGCCUGCUCCGAGAGGACUGGGUAAUCAUUUGAGUGUGCGUCGUGAUGGGGAUAGAAUAUUGUAAUUAUUACUCUUCAACGAGGAAUUCCUAGUAAGCGCCAGUCAGCAGCUUGCGCUGAUUACGUCCCUGCCCUUUGUACACACCGCCCGUCGCUCCUACCGAUGGGCGAUCCGGUGAAUGAUUCGGACUUCAGCGGCUCCCCUGGGGUGCGCCGGAGAAAGUUUUGUGAACCUUAUCACUUGGAGGAAGGAGAAGUCGUAACA
rnacentral:rRNA from 1 species